rnacentral:rRNA from 1 species
CGUAGGUGCGAGCGUUAAUCGGAAUUACUGGGCGUAAAGCGUGCGCAGGCGGUUUUGUAAGCCAGAUGUGAAAUCCCCGGGCUCAACCUGGGAAUGGCAUUUGGGACUGCAAGGCUUGAGUGCGGCAGAGGAGACUGGAAUUCCUGGUGUAGCAGUGAAAUGCGUAGAUAUCAGGAGGAAUACCGAUGGCGAAGGCAGGUCUCUGGGCUGACACUGACGCUCAUGCACGAAAGCGUGGGGAGCAAACAGGAUUAGAUACCCUGGUAGUCCACGCCCUAAACGAUGUCGACUGGUUGUUGGGGGUUUGACACUCUCAGUAACGAAGCUAACGCGUGAAGUCGACCGCCUGGGGAGUACGGCCGCAAGGUUA